rnacentral:rRNA from 1 species
UACGAAGGGAGCUAGCGUUGUUCGGAAUCACUGGGCGUAAAGCGCGCGUAGGCGGCCAAGCAAGUCAGAUGUGAAAUCCCGGGGCUCAACCUCGGAAUUGCAUUUGAAACUGCAUGGCUAGAGUUCAAUAGGGGAUGGUGGAAUUCCUAGUGUAGAGGUGAAAUUCGUAGAUAUUAGGAGGAACACCGGUGGCGAAGGCGACCAUCUGGGUUGAAACUGACGCUGAGGCGCGAAAGUGUGGGGAGCAAACAGG